AUACGGAGGAUGCGAGCGUUAUCCGGAUUUAUUGGGUUUAAAGGGAGCGUAGGUGGGAUAUUAAGUCAGCUGUGAAAGUUUGGGGCUCCACCUUAAAAUUGCAGUUGAUACUGGUUUCCUUGAGUACGGUACAGGUGGGCGGAAUUCGUGGUGUAGCGGUGAAAUGCUUAGAUAUCACGAAGAACUCCGAUCGCGAAGGCAGCUCACCGGGCCGGAACUGACACUGAUGCUCGAAAGUGCGGGUAUCAAACAGGAUUAGAUACCCUGGUAGUCCGCACAGUAAACGAUGAAUACUCGCUGUUUGCGAUACACUGUAAGCGGCCAAGCGAAAGCGUUAAGUAUUCCACCUGGGGAGUACGCCGGCAACGGUGAAACUCAAAGGAAUUGGCGGGG
rnacentral:rRNA from 1 species